rnacentral:rRNA from 1 species
UACGUAGGGGGCGAGCGUUGUCCGAAUUUACUGGGCGUAAAGCGCGCGUAGGCGGGUUUUUAAGUUGGUGGUGAAAUCCCGAGGCUCAACCUCGGAACUGCCUCCAAAACUGGGAACCUUGAGGUUUGGAGAGGGAAGUGGAAUUCCUGGUGUAGCGGUGAAAUGCGUAGAUAUCAGGAGGAACACCCGUGGCGAAGGCGGCUUCCUGGCCAUAUCCUGACGCUGAGGUGCGAAAGCUAGGGGAGCGAACGGG